rnacentral:rRNA from 1 species
GACGGAGGAUGCAAGCGUUGUCCGGAAUCAUUGGGCGUAAAGGGCGCGUAGGUGGCGGGACAAGCGUGCGGUGAAAGCUCGGGGCUCAACCCCGAGUCGGCCGUGCGAACUGUUUUGCUGGAGCACUGUAGAGGCAGGCGGAAUUCCGGGUGUAGCGGUGGAAUGCGUAGAGAUCCGGAAGAACACCGGUGGCGAAGGCGGCCUGCUGGGCAGUUGCUGACACUGAGGCGCGACAGCGUGGGGAGCAAACAGG